rnacentral:lncRNA from 1 species
UCCUGUGUUCGUCAACCCAUAAGUCGAAUAAUUCACUAGUGCCCUGAUAGAUUGAACUACUACUCAGAGAACACCUAUACGCAGCUGUUAGUCUGCCUUUCUGUGGGUGAAACCUAAACCUCUUUGCUCUCAUUCCCGGACUGCCUACUUUGAUUCCUUAACUGCUCCCUCCUUGUACUAACUCUGACUUAUUAGCUUCAAACUGACACUCCCCAACAAAUAACAAACUAACACACCAGAUCCCCUUUCUUUUUGGAUUUCACUAGUGAGCCUGCCCUUACAAGCUUGAAAACUGAUACUGAUGCCUCUAUUCUAAUACGAUAACCCACAACUUGGAAUUGAACCACUGCCUCACUGGCUUACUGUCCUAUUUAGAAGACUCAAAUUGGUGCUUCCAAUCCCUUUGCUUAAAAUAAAGAAUGUGAUUUAUAGGUAUGAUCCUGGCGCAUAGGGAGAUAGAGCUCAACUACUCAUAUAACAACCGAUCUGACUUGAACCUUAUAUAGGUAAUUCCACAAUCAAAUGGGAAUGAAAUAGUGUCCUGAUAGAUUGAACUAUAAAUAGAGUAACUAGGACUUCUCUUACUGGCAUAGAUCUGGUUAGGAAGCAUAAGAAGUCAAGUCCACUCGAAUUGCCAGUGAUACUACAAAGAUAAGUUCUCCGGGAGUUUCAUUCUUUGUCCAGAGUGUCCUUGUCUAGCUAUUAGGGGUGCAGCGUAUGGGUGCGAGUGUGGAAGAAGUCGUUGCCAGAGAAGGUAGAGAAGAGAGUUUACUUAAGGGUUCCGGGCAGGUAAAGAAGUAGAAUAGUUGCCAGCCCUUUACUAUUAAUUUGAGGGUCAGAUCCAUUAGAAAAGUAGCAUAGAUAUAGGUAAUGAAACACCCCGCCAAGUCGACAAACUACUAAAGUACUGUUAAAUGCAACAACUAGUGGUUUUGUACAAGAUAAGAGAGGUUAUUGGCUUAGAGUAUCCUUCAGCUCGAAAGUCAUCUGUGUUUUUACUCGUAGGAGUUAUUACAAGUCCUGUCUUUG